UGGUGGGUAGUUUGACUGGGGCGGUCUCCUCCUAAAGAGUAACGGAGGAGCACGAAGGUUGGCUAAUCCUGGUCGGACAUCAGGAGGUUAGUGCAAUGGCAUAAGCCAGCUUGACUGCGAGCGUGACGGCGCGAGCAGGUGCGAAAGCAGGUCAUAGUGAUCCGGUGGUUCUGAAUGGAAGGGCCAUCGCUCAACGGAUAAAAGGUACUCCGGGGAUAACAGGCUGAUACCGCCCAAGAGUUCAUAUCGACGGCGGUGUUUGGCACCUCGAUGUCGGCUCAUCACAUCCUGGGGCUGAAGUAGGUCCCAAGGGUAUGGCUGUUCGCCAUUUAAAGUGGUACGCGAGCUGGGUUUAGAACGUCGUGAGACAGUUCGGUCCCUAUCUGCCGUGGGCGCUGGAGAACUGAGGGGGGCUGCUCCUAGUACGAGAGGACCGGAGUGGACGCAUCACUGGUGUUCGGGUUGUCAUGCCAAUGGCACUGCCCGGUAGCUAAAUGCGGAAGAGAUAAGUGCUGAAAGCAUCUAAGCACGAAACUUGCCCCGAGAUGAGUUCUCCCUGACUCCUUGAGAGUCCUGAAGGAACGUU
rnacentral:rRNA from 1 species